rnacentral:rRNA from 1 species
GACGAAGGGGGCUAGCGUUGUUCGGAAUUACUGGGCGUAAAGCGAGUGUAGGUGGUUGUCCAAGUUGGAUGUGAAAGCCUUGAGCUCAACUCAAGAAAUGCAUUCAGGACUGGGCGGCUAGAGGACCGGAGAGGAUAGUGGAAUUCCCAGUGUAGUGGUGAAAUACGCAGAGAUUGGGAAGAACACCAGUGGCGAAGGCGGCUAUCUGGACGGUUUCUGACACUAAUACUCGAAAGCGUGGGGAGCAAACGGG